rnacentral:tRNA from 1 species
GCAAUGGUGGUUCAGUGGUAGAAUUCUCGCCUUCCGUGCAGGAGAUGUGGGUUCAAUUCCCGGCCAGCGCA